rnacentral:tRNA from 1 species
GGCCGGUUGGCCCAAUGGCAAGGCGUCUGACUACGAUGCAAUCAGGAGAUUCUGGGUUCGACCCCCAGGCUGGUCA